UCUUGGAAACAGUCAUGUCCUAUUAGGCCUUUAUGUGCUUUAGAGAGAAUCAUUUAUGCCUUGAUUUAUACCAGGAAGGGACAAGUCAGUGCACAAGAACUUGCUGCCAGUUUACUAGCACCUAUGCCCACCGGAGAGGUUUUUUAAGGAACUUGAAGAAAAGGGCCUCCGAGGAGCAGUCUUGGAAUUGGCUAAGAGCAUCUUUUCAAAAUCCACAAAACUAUCAUCAUCAUCAUCCUGGCAAAUUUCAAAGGGACACAGCCUCCUUGCAGACUGAAUGCCACCUGGAUUGAUCUCUACCUAGGUCCUUAAGAUUCUCAGCGACACCCCUCCCUCCUACUCAGGAGUCAACACUGUCUUGAUUUUAGAAUCAUCUCCUCUAGAUUCCUUGCUCUGAUUACCCACAAUAAAAUUUGAAGAUGUUUCUCCAAAAUAGAGGUGAGUGGAAAAUUACAUCUUUAACUAUAACUAGUCAGUCAUCAGGUACAUAUAUCUCUUGGGCUAUUUCUCUCUCCAGUUCAUCUAUGCAGCAUGAAUUUUAAACUGGGCAAGACUCAGCCUUUUGUUUUGUUUGAACAGGAUCCCAAGUUGCCAAAUAGCACAGGCAUGCCGAUAUUCUUCAGGGGUUCCUUGCACUGAAAGCAGACACCAGCAGAAGUAUAGCUAUGUUUUCAUACUUUACUCAUUACCAUACUAUUUGAUAGCCUUAAGAUAUAUAGGUCUAACUCAUUGGGGGCCAACUUUGGUCAAUAUGAAAAUCUCUGCAGUUCAUGGGAUCCAUGCUAAUAGCUUCAAGCAUCCUUUGCCAUUACAUUUGAAGAUACGGGGCAGAGGCUAUGAGCUGGAGAGAAGACUGCUGAAAAAGCUAAUACUGUAGUUAUAAUGUUCAUUUCUUGAUUGGUUUCAUUCAGUGCCAACAGCAGUAAACCUAAUGGCUCCAUGUGCACUCAUUCUUGUAAAUCAUCCUUAUUUAGACUCAGACAAAAUGUAAGAAAUA